rnacentral:rRNA from 1 species
GCAGGGGAUCGCAAGACCUUGCGCUGAUUGAGCGGCCGAUAUCAGAUUAGCUAGUUGGUGAGGUAAAGGCUCACCAAGGCGACGAUCUGUAGCGGGUCUGAGAGGAUGAUCCGCCACACUGGAACUGAGACACGGUCCAGACUCCUACGGGAGGCAGCAGUGGGGAAUUUAGGACAAUGGGGGCAACCCUGAUCCAGCCAUGCCGCGUGAGUGAAGAAGGCCUUCGGGUUGUAAAGCUCUUUCGGCCGGGAAGAAAUCGUAUGGGUUAAUACCCUGUGCGGAUGACGGUACCGGCAUAAGAAGCACCGGCUAACUACGUGCCAGCAGCCGCGGUAAUACGUAGGGUGCGAGCGUUAAUCGGAAUUACUGGGCGUAAAGCGUGCGCAGGCGGUUUUGUAAGACAGGCGUGAAAUCCCCGGGCUCAACCUGGGAACUGCGCUUGUGACUGCAAGGCUAGAGUACGGCAGGGGGGGGUGGAAUUCCACGUGUAGCAGUGAAAUGCGUAGAGAUGUGGAGGAACACCAAUGGCGAAGGCAGCCCCCUGGGUCGAUACUGACGCUCAUGCACGAAAGCGUGGGUAGCAAACAGGAUUAGAUACCCUGGUAGUCCACGCCCUAAACGAUGUCAACUAGGUGUUGGGUGGGUAAAACCAUUUAGUACCGGAGCUAACGCGUGAAGUUGACCGCCUGGGGAGUACGGCCGCAAGGUUAAAACUCAAAGGAAUUGACGGGGACCCGCACAAGCGGUGGAUGAUGUGGAUUAAUUCGGUGCAACGCGAAAAACCUUACCUGCCCUUGACAUGUCCAGGAGCCUGAAGAGAUUUGGGUGUGCCCGAAAGGGAACUGGAACACAGGUGCUGCAUGGCUGUCGUCAGCUCGUGUCGUGAGAUGUUGGGUUAAGUCCCGCAACGAGCGCAACCCUUGUCGUUAAUUGCCAUCAUUCAGUUGGGCACUUUAACGAGACUGCCGGCGACAAACCGGAGGAAGGUGGGGAUGACGUCAAGUCCUCAUGGCCCUUAUGGGUAGGGCUUCACACGUCAUACAAUGGUCGGUACAAAGGGUCGCCAACCCGCGAGGGGGAGCCAAUCCCAGAAAGCCGAUCGUAGUCCGGAUCGUAGGCUGCAACUCGCCUGCGUGAAGUCGGAAUCGCUAGUAAUCGUGGAUCAGCAUGUCACGGUGAAUACGUUCCCGGGUCUUGUACACACCGCCCGUCACACCAUGGGAGCGGGUUCCGCCAGAAGUAGGUAGCCUAACCGCAAGGGGGGCGCUUACCACGGCGGGGUUCGUGACUGGGGUGAAGUCGG